rnacentral:lncRNA from 1 species
CGAUACAUUCGGCUGCAGCGGCAAAGGGCCAUCCUCUAUAAGUGGCUUAAAGUUCCUCCUGCCAUUAACCAGUUCACCCAGAGACAAAGCAGGAGAAGAAGCAAAGACUGUUGGCCCGUGCUGAGAAGAAGGCUGCUGGCAAAGGGGAUGUCCCAACUAAGAGGCCACCUGUUCUUCGAGCAGGAGUCAACACAGUCACCACCUUGGUGGAGAACAAGAAGGCUGGGACGACUGGUCCACAGGAAAACAUGUACCACCAUUGCCUUCACACAGGUUAACUCGGAAGACAAGGGUGCUCUGGCUAAGCUGGUGGAAGCUAUUAGGACCAAUUACAAUGACAGAUAUGAUGAGAUGUGACGCCACUGGGGGGCAAUGUCCUGGGUCCUAAAUCUGUGGCUCGAAUUGCCAAGCUGGAAAAGGCAAAGGCUAAAGAACUCGCUAUUAAACUGGGUUAAAUGUACACUCACCGCUAAGUUUUCUGUACAUAAAUACAAACAUAUCUUCCAAAAAAAAAAAAGAUUUAAAACACUGGAGCUAAAUAGUGGCACUUACACCCUGGCAGUAACUAACAGCUAUCUAGAUGUACUCAAGGCCUGCUCAACAGGAAGGAAGCAGUGCUUGGUACUGGAAACCUAGCCAGCUAGAGGCUAGUGGGGUCACGGAUCUUAAUGAGAACCUACUACCCUCACUUACUAAACUCACCUAAUGCUAUGUGCAUUCUGAAUACUUACCUAUAUGCCCACAGAUGAAUGCAGCUCCCAACUCUCAUCCAAGCAGCUUGUCUUUGCAACAGACAGGGAUCAUUACAGAAAAGCACAACUGGUCCAAAUGCAGAGAAUAACUGAUAUGGGGUGUCCAGCCUCGGUGGAUACAUUUGCAACACAACUUCUGCACUUAAGGCUCAGGAAACAAUGCAG